rnacentral:rRNA from 1 species
UACGAAGGGUGCAAGCGUUACUCGGAAUUACUGGGCGUAAAGCGCGCGUAGGUGGUGAGUUAAGUCUGUCGUGAAAGCCCCGGGCUCAACCUGGGAAUGGCGAUGGAUACUGGCUCGCUAGAGUGCGGUAGAGGAGAGUGGAAUUCCCGGUGUAGCAGUGAAAUGCGUAGAGAUCGGGAGGAACAUCAGUUGCGAAGGCGGCUCUCUGGACCAGCACUGACACUGAGGCGCGAAAGCGUGGGGAGCAAACAGG